UUGCUCUUCAACGAGGAAUGCCUAGUAAGCGCGAGUCAUCAGCUCGCGUUGACUACGUCCCUGCCCUUUGUACACACCGCCCGUCGCUCCUACCGAUUGAAUGGUCCGGUGAAGUGUUCGGAUCGCGGCGACGGAGGCGGUUCGCCGCCCCCGACGUCGCGAGAAGUCCAUUGAACCUUAUCAUUUAGAGGAAGGAGAAGUCGUAACAAGGUUUCCGUAGGUGAACCUGCGGAAGGAUCAUUGUCGUGACCCUAAACAAAACAGACUGUGAACGUGUCAUCAAAGUCGUCGGGCUUCGGCUCGGCUAAGGCCCUCGACUUCGUCCCGGAGGAGAGGGCCGCAAAAGAACCCAGGGCGCCGAAGGCGUCAAGGAACACUUAUUGCCUUGCUCGGGGAUGUGGCCGGCUUGCCGGCCGCGCCCCCGUGCAGCGAUGCUAUGUAAACCAACACGACUCUCGGCAACGGAUAUCUCGGCUCUCGCAUCGAUGAAGAACGUAGCAAAAUGCGAUACCUGGUGUGAAUUGCAGAAUCCCGUGAACCAUCGAAUCUUUGAACGCACAUUGCGCCCUUUGGUAUUCCGAAGGGCAUGCCUGUUCGAGCGUCAUUUUCACCCCUCAAGCCCCCGGCUUGGUGUUGGACGGUUUGGUUUAGGUACCCCUAGACCCCUCCUAAAGACAAUGACGGCGGCUGUUGAACCCCCGGUACACUGAGCUUCUUAACUGAGCACGUAUCGGAUCUAGGGUUUGGCGGCACCCGGUCUAUACCUUUUUUGCUUACAAGGUUGACCUCGGAUCAGGUAGGAAUACCCGCUGAACUUAAGCAUAUCAAUAAGCGGAGGA
rnacentral:rRNA from 1 species